rnacentral:rRNA from 1 species
AUUGAACGCUGGCGGCAUGCCUUACACAUGCAAGUCGAACGGUAACGGGCUUUCGGGUUGCGAUGAGUGGCGAACGGGUGAGUAAUACAUCGGAACGUGCCCGAACGUGGGGUUUAGCGAGGCGUAAGCUUUGCUAAUAUACCAUACGAUCUCAGGAUGAAUGCGGGGGACAGCAAGGCCUUGCCCGGCCGGACGGGCUGAAGGCAGCUUAGGUAGUUGGUGGGAUAAAGGCGUACCAAGCCGACGAUCUGUAGCUGGUCUGAGCGGAUGAUCAGCCACACUGGGACUGAGACACGGACCAGACUCCUACGGGAGGCAGCAGUGGGGAAUUUUGGACAAUGGGCGCAAGCCUGAUCCAGCCAUGCCGCGUGCGUGAAGAAGGCCUUCGGGUUGUAAAGUGCUUUUGUACGGAACGAAAAGCCUUCGGUUAAUACAGGGCGGUUAUGACGGUACCGUAAGAAUAAGCACCGGCUAACUACGUG